UACGUAGGGGGCAAGCGUUGUCCGGAAUCAUUGGGCGUAAAGAGCGUGUAGGCGGUCCGAUAAGUCCGCUCUGAAAGCCCGGGGCUCAACCCCGGGAGGCGGGCGGAUACUGUCGGGCUAGAGUCCGGAAGAGGCAAGUGGAAUUCCUGGUGUAGCGGUGAAAUGCGCAGAUAUCAGGAGGAACACCAAUGGCGAAGGCAGCUCGCUGGGACGGUACUGACGCUGAGACGCGAAAGCGUGGGGAGCAAACAGG
rnacentral:rRNA from 1 species